AAUAACAACGCCUCCUGUAACCUUUCUUCUACAUGAGCUUGGGGUAUAAAGGUUAGAUUUUUCUGUCCAUUAGCAUGUUUUUUUGUUUGUUUGUUUGUUUGUUUGUUUGUUUUUUUAGGUUUUGCUAUCACCGUUACUGUAUUUGUAGCUGUCUGAUGAGUUUCACAUCAACACAUGAUGUAAUUUUCCACCAGUGCAUUUGAGACUGUGAAAAGAAGAAGAAAAAAAUUGCCGCCUCCAUGUUUGUCUUUUGUUAACAACCAGCUAGCUGGCUAACUGUGAUGAGUGAUGUAUAUUUUCCUCCUCAAAACAGCAGUGAAUUUGAUAGAUUUAACCAGUGAAUAUGUCUGUAUGUUGAUUUAUAUUGUAUAAAUUCAUUUGAAAGUAAAGAAGUGUUGCUGUGUUUUCGGUGGCUGCAGUGAGUAGCUACGUUGAGCUGACGUCACACGUUCAGAAGACCACUGACCCACUGACAUCACUAUGCUUUUCCAGGUAUUUACAGCAGCCUCUUCCAGUUGUUGUUUGUUUCGGGAGGUUUCUCUUUUCAGGCUACUCUUCAGGAGGUGAAAUUCUGCUCAGUUGGGUUAAAGUCUGGUGAUUGACUUGGCCAGUCUAAAACCUUCCACUUUUUCAAGUCCUGUGUGUGGAUCAUUGUAUCGCUGCAUGAUGAAGUUCCUUGCAGUUAGAUUGGAUGCAUUUCUCUGUAAAUUGGCAGAUAAAAUGUUCCUGUAAACUUCUGAAUUCAUUCUGCUGCUACCAUCAUGAGUUCCAUCAUCAAUAAAGAUUAGUGAGAAUGUUCCAGAAACAGCCAUGCAAGCCCAAGCCAUGACGCUACCUCCACCAUGCUUCACAGAUGAGCUCCUCUCACAACGUUCCUGUCAUCAGCUGCUGUUAUUUUCCUUAGCCGACCUGUUCCAUGUCUGGUUGCUCAGUACACCAGGCUCCUCUCAUUGUACAAUAAGACUCACCCCCAUUUUAUCAUCACAUCUUACUAAGUUGCCAGAAACUUUGUCGAAGAAAUAAAAGCAGUGAGCGGAGGGGAGCAGCAGGGGUUCUGCGAGAACUCCGGAGAUCAGCAGGGUUUGUUACGGACCCCCUGCCUGCAACCCCGCUUUUUCAGCAACACACAAAGUAGCACACACACACACCGAGCUCAUCUCUGAACUGCUGAGCUACUGGGCUGCUCUCUCUCUCACACACACACACACAUUGAAAUGGAAAAAAGUCUUGGCAGUUACACCAAACCUCUACAAAGGCUUUCCUCUUAGUGUUAAAUUUAUAAUGCUGAUUAUAAUAAUAUAAUAAGUCCUAUAUUCCUUAAGGCUCAAAUAAUAGAGUGCUUGAAUAAGUUACUAUGUCCUGAAGUUAUUACAGAUAAAAAAUUCUAAUCAUUUUGAAAUUGUUUUAAAUGUGCGUGAACGAAACCUUGAGCUGUUCAAUUAUCCAUGAACGUGUCAUUUCAAGCCAUAAAAAAUAACAUAUUUACAAUUUUGAAUGCCCUGUACACCUUUACCCUCAUAAAAACAUAUGUACCUAUGAAUAUGCAUGAAUACGCAAAUUUGGAAACACCCCCACGUCAUCCUAGCAUCCCAAAACAUCCUACUAUAGCUAACCUUUUGCUAGAUGGCAAGUAAGAUUUGUGGGAUUUCAGUAUCUUGAUUUGCUUCGUCAUUUUCUCAGUGAUUUGUAACAGCAGUCAAAUCUGUCAAAAUACCAAAAUCUGAAUUUUACCAUAACAACCACUAUCUGUUCAUCACUAAAGUUAGCUUAGCUAGCUAAGUAUGUGCUGUAGUUUCUGCAACUUAGGUACCAGUUGCUAUGCUUUAAUCUCAGACGUGAUUGCUCAAAAUGUUUUAGGGCUUAUUUAGUGACACUGCAAACUGAGCUCAUAUGUAGCCCCGCCUCCAAACAGGUUUUAUACAGAAGUUCUGAGAAAGUCUGGUAUUUAAACAUCACAUACAUACAGUCUCCUCCGGAACUAUUUGAACAGCAAGGCAAAUUAAUUUGUUUGUGCUGUACACCGAAGACAUUUGGGUUUCAGAUCAAAAGAUGAAGAUGAGACAAGGAUUUAGGAUUUCAGCUUUUUGUUCCUGGUAUUUACAUCUAGAAAAAUUACAUGUGUGUUAAACAACAUAAAACAUGGCAACUUUUGUAUCAGACCACUUGACAGAUAAGUCUUGAUGUAAAUUAAAGUAAAUGACACUUAAUAUUUGGUUGCAUAUGCCUUGUUUGAAAUAUCUGCAUCAAUCAUGUGACUCAGUGACAUCAACAAAUUGUUGGUUUCAUCUUUUGUGAUACUUUUCCAGACUUUAACCGCAUCCUCUUUCAGUUGUUGUUUGUUUCAGGGGAGGUUUCUCUUUUCAGUCUCCUCUUCAGGAGGUGAAAUCCUGCUCAGUUGGGUUAAAGUCUGGUGAUUGACUUGGCCAGUCUAAAACCUUUCACUUUUUUUGAAGUGUGUGUUUUGGAUCAUUUUCUUUUUACAUAAUAAAGUUUCUCCUGAUUAGUGUGCAUGCAUUUCUCUGUAAACUGGCAGACAAAAUGUUCCUGUAAACGUCUGAAUUCAUUCUGCUGCUACCAACAUGAGUUACAUCAUCAAUAAAGAUUAGUGAUCCUGUUCCAGAAGCAGUAAUGCAAGCCCAAGCCAUGACACUACCUCCACCAUGUUUCACAGAUGAGCUCGUAUGUUUUGGAUCGUGAGCAGAUCCGUUCUUUCUGCACAGUUUGGACUUUGUCCAAUCAACUGGACGAACAUGUAACAUGUCAGAGCUCUCGGGUUAAGACGUUGGACGACUUGUCUUAGAAUACCGGAGUUCAUGUGCCACUGCCUGGUCCUUGAGCAAGACCCUUAGUGCUUAACUGCUCAGUUGUAUAAAUGAGAUUAAUGUAAUGCAUCAUUUAUUAUUUUAUCCUUUGUCUAAUAUUUAAUCUUUUAUGCAUAACACUUCCAAAAAAAUGACUAAUAUAUAAAUCAUUAUUAUUAUUAUUAUUACAUAACGUAAAAUAAUCCUGAUCGUGAUUAAAUAGUUCUGAGCUUUUAUUAUUUUUCUCUGGUGUAUGAACAUGCAAGUACAAGGGGCGGGAAAAAAACAACAGGACACAGGUUAUUGUGUGAAGACAUUGCAAAAUAUAUUUAACAUUGAAUUCCAUGUGAUUGUCAAGAGAAUGUGGAUAUAUUUCUUUUGGCUAAAAUACAUCUCGAGUGCAUCUCGGAAAUGCCAAAAUGAACGCAACACUUAUGUACACUCUUACAUUGUAUUUACAUAUCCACGACUUUACAGAAUCUAAAAAGACGAAUUUGGACACACGGAGGGGGGAAUAAAUUGAACGAUACGAACAGCUUUGGUCUGAAAGAACUUGAUUUGUAGACUAACUACUCUGACUGAAUCAACACAUUCAUACAGAUGCAUUUUGUGCAACCUACAUCUCAUAACUCUCAACAUUAUUGCGAUCACGGACAUCCUCCCUUCUUCUACGUGGUUUACAUCAUUAUAUAUAAAUCUAACACUGAUUAGGAAUGAGGGGAAAAAAGCUACAGAAAGAAAAACGAGUGACUGAAAUGAAAUACAGAAACUGGUUUAUGAUUUCAUAACUAAGGUUUAUGCUCAAACUCCCUCCUCUUGUCCUUCCAUGACGGAGAUGAUUCCUGCCUCAAAUUUGCCUGCGUCUACACAGCAGCC